UGAAACAGACCAAGUAUCAGGCAGAGGAGGACGACAACAUCACUCUGGAAUGGACGUUCACAACCAGAAGUGACAAAUCUCCUAACCUACUUAUGAUCUUGUGUAAACUAAUAACAGACCUCAGAGUGUCCUUCAUGUAUUGACUACAUCACAGUGUUGAGGUUCCAGAGUCUCAAGAUGAACAGUUUUCAGGACGAGUCCAGUGUGACAGAGACGUCCUCAGAGAAGAAGGACGACUCAGACUUCAUGUGUCCAGACUCAGGACUGAAGACUCAGGCCGGUACAAAUGUGUUGUGAGGACAGAAUCUGACCUGAGUGCAGAUCAAUGCUGGCUCAAUGUCACUGCCUCUGUUGCUCAGGAACAACAUACGACUCCAACUGUGAACCCAGAGCCACAGGAUCAGGAAAGGUUCUACAUCGCACUUGGUGCAAAAAGAGAAGAUGUUAUGAGAGAAGAUGAAUCGUUGUUUGGGUUUCGUCUCUUUAGAGUUCAGAGUUUUCCUAAAGUAGAAUUCUGUUACUGGUUUUGUUCUUUGUAACUUCGACAGUUUCCUUGAUCUUGGUCUUCAGCGUUUGUCUUCAAUGAAAAACACAAACCCUUAGUGUUGCUGCUUGCCCAGGAGAAGACGCCCUGCCACUGCAGACACACACAGCUCCAACUGAGACAGCGGGACGAAAAACUUCAACGCAGGUAAACUGAGUGUGUAGCAGAGUGCACUUUAUUUGACGUAUUUCUCUAUGUCCUUCUUUUGUACUUCUGUCCACCUGUUCUAUGAGUCUUAACUCUUCUGUUGUUUCGGAUCCAUUUACAAGUUUUAUCCAACCCAAUGUGGGAGGAGGCCGGAGCAGGAUCACAGUCCAACAGGGUAAAGAGACGUAGUGUCAGAGAGAAGUCCACACUUUGAAGUAUUUCUCUAUGUCAAAUUUCUUUUGUACUUCUGUCCACCUGGAGUAACGUGUAGGUGUGUGUGUGACAAAACAAAGUAUUAAAAAAAAGCUCAGAUAAACAACAGUUCAGAUAUCUGAACUCAUUUGGCAGCAAGGUGAGAAAGAGCCUCAGUUCGUGACUGAGAACAUGAAGCACCUGGGGUAAGAACUAAAAAGGCAAACUCCUCUUCUGGCGUUGAGAAAGGAGUCAGCCGCCUUCUCCUAGUGGUUUUACCCACGUUUAAAAAACCUGUGUAUACCAACUAAUUCUGGUUAAAGGUAUAACUGAGCUCAUGAGUCUUCACCUCUGUGUCCUCUCACAGAGAGAAGAUGAUCCAGAUCCUGCUGCUCAUCAUCCUGAUCUCCUGUGUCUGUGCAGGAACAUUAGUUGUGAAUGUGACACAGACCCACUAUCAGGCAGAGGAGAACGACAAUGUCACUCUGGAAUGGACGUUCACAUCCACCAAAUUAGUCUUUAUCAUCUGUAAACUAAUAACAGACCUCAGAGUCUCUAUCGUGUAUCAUCUACAUGAAGGGGUUGAGAUACCGGAGUCUCAGGAUGAACAGUUUUCAGGACGAGUCCAGUGGGACAGAGACGUCCUCAGAGAAGAAGGACGACUCAGACUUCAUGUGUCCAGACUCAGGACUGAAGACUCAGGCCGGUACAAGUGUGUAGUGAGGACAGAAUCUGACCUGAGUGCAGAUCAAUGCUGGCUCCAUGUCACUGCCUCUGUUGCUCAGGAACAACGUAUGACUCCAACUGAGAACCCAGAACUUAAUGGUCAGGAAAGGUUCUACGUCUUCUAUUGUAUAGUAAUAAUAUACGUCGUAAUCUUUAUAGCAAUAAUAGUAUGUAUAAUAGCACCACCAGAAUCAGCAAUAAUCAAAGUAGUUUAUCCAGUGAUAAAAGUAUUACACAUCCUAACAUUAAUAUAUUCAUAUUUAUUCCUGCUACUGCUUUUACCAGUAAUAGUAAUAGGACAGGGAAUACAAGUAGUAGUAAAUAAACUAGCAUUAGAAAUUUGGCAUAUGUGCUGUAGAAGGACAUUUACGUCAGUGUCUCAGGUUGAGAUUCUAUAAGCAGAUAAAAUUUCCUGUAUAAAAUGUAUUCACAAAUAUGCAAAAUAGUAAUUUCCUUUUUUUUAACAUGUUGCUGCAUUUUGUUGUUUUAUUUAUACAAAUGUUAUCUUACCAAUACAAAUAUCCAAGUACACUAAAUAUAUCUCUACAUCUGUCUUUACACUUUUUUUGAAACGGGUCAAAUAAAACACACAAUCUCAACUUCUCAUUCAUUCAGAGUUAAUCUGAGUGUUUUACAGCUAUUGACUAAUAAACAUUUCCUGGGAUUAUUUCCCUUUUUUAAAUCUUACUUUAUAAAUCAGUGUAACACUGAAAAAAACACUUUAGUUACACUAAAAAAUGAAAUAGUAUUUAAAUUAAACUUGCUGAUAGCACUUUGUAGUUUGUCUUUCUUGAAGAAAAUGGUACUUUCUGCAUUCUUGUUGUUCCCUCAUGGUAGAUGCACUUAUUGUGAGUCGCUUUUGAUAAAAGCUUCAGCUAAAUGAAAUGUAACGUAAAUACAUGAGCUGAGCUACUUUUUACAUUUUAAAACAAAUUCAGAGUACAAACUCUGGACUUUAACAACAUUUAAUAGAAUUUAUUUGUAUGUAUGUAACCAGCUUGUAUUACCAGGACAAAAAUGUUCAAAAUGCAAUGCACUGGAGCUGUUCAAGUCAAAUAAAGUUAUAUU